GACGAACGCUGGCGGCGUGCCUAAUACAUGCAAGUCGAACGCUGAAGGAGGAGCUUGCUUCUCUGGAUGAGUUGCGAACGGGUGAGUAACGCGUAGGUAACCUGCCUGGUAGCGGGGGAUAACUAUUGGAAACGAUAGCUAAUACCGCAUAAGAGUAGAUGUUGCAUGACAUUUGCUUAAAAGGUGCAAUUGCAUCACUACCAGAUGGACCUGCGUUGUAUUAGCUAGUUGGUGGGGUAACGGCUCACCAAGGCGACGAUACAUAGCCGACCUGAGAGGGUGAUCGGCCACACUGGGACUGAGGCACGGCCCAGACUCCUACGGGAGGCAGCAGGAGGGAAUCUUCGGCAAUGGACGGAAGUCUGACCGAGCAACGCCGCGUGAGUGAAGAAGGUUUUCGGAUCGUAAAGCUCUGUUGUAAGAGAAGAACGAGUGUGAGAGUGGAAAGUUCACACUGUGACGGUAUCUUACCAGAAAGAGACGGCUAACUACGUG
rnacentral:rRNA from 1 species